rnacentral:misc_RNA from 1 species
GAUGAAGAACGUAGCGAAAUGCGAUAAGUAAUGUGAAUUGCAGAAUUCAGUGAAUCAUCGAAUCUUUGAACACACAUUGCGCCCGCCAGUAUUCUGGCGGGCAUGCCUGUUCGAGCGUCAUUUCAACCAUCAAGCCCCAGGCUUGUGUUGGGGUCCUGCGGCUGCCGCAGGCCCUGAAAAACAGUGGCGGGCUCGCUGUCACACCGAGCGUAGUAAUACAUCUCGCUUUGGACGUGCGGCGGGUUCUUGCCGUUAAACACCCCCCUUCUCAAGGUUGACCUCGGAUCAGGUAGGAAUACCCGCUGAACUUAAGCAUAUCAAUAAGCGGAGGA